GAUGAACGCUGGCGGCGUGCCUAAUACAUGCAAGUCGAGCGAAUGGAUUAAGAGCUUGCUCUUAUGGAGUUAGCGGCGGACGGGUGAGUAACACGUGGGUAACCUGCCCAUAAGACUGGGAUAACUCCGGGAAACCGGGGCUAAUACCGGAUAACAUUUUGAACAGCAUGGUUCGAAAUUGAAUGGCGGCUUCGGCUGUCACUUAUGGAUGGACCCGCGUCGCAUUAGCUAGUUGGUGAGGUAACGGCUAACCAAGGCAACGAUGCGUAGCCGACCUGAGAGGGUGAUCGGCCACACUGGGACUGAGACACGGCCCAGACUCCUACGGGAGGCAGCAGUAGGGAAUCUUCCGCAAUGGACGAAAGUCUGACGGAGCAACGCCGCGUGAGUGAUGAAGGCUUUCGGGUCGUAAAACUCUGUUGUUAGGGAAGAACAAGUGCUAGUUGAAUAAGCUGGCACCUUGACGGUACCUAACCAGAAAGCCACGGCUAACUACGUGCCAGCCGCCGCAGUAA
rnacentral:rRNA from 1 species